rnacentral:rRNA from 1 species
UACGUAGGGUGCGAGCGUUAAUCGGAAUUACUGGGCGUAAAGCGUGCGCAGGCGGUUCGUUGUGUCGGCGGUGAAAGCCCCGGGCUCAACCUGGGAAUGGCCGUUGAAACUGGCGAACUGGAGUGUGGCAGAGGGGGGUGGAAUUCCGCGUGUAGCAGUGAAAUGCGUAGAGAUGCGGAGGAACACCGAUGGCGAAGGCAGCCCCCUGGGCUAACACUGACGCUCGAGGCACGAAAGCGUGGGGAGCAAACAGG